UACGUAGGUGGCAAGCGUUGUCCGGAUUUACUGGGCGUAAAGGAUGUGUAGGCGGAUACUUAAGUGAGAUGUGAAAGCCCCGGGCUCAACCUGGGGACUGCAUUUCAAACUGGGUAUCUAGAGUGCAGGAGAGGAAAGCGGAAUUCCUAGUGUAGCGGUGAAAUGCGUAGAGAUUAGGAAGAACAUCAGUGGCGAAGGCGACCACCUGGACUGAUACUGACACUGAGGCCAUGAAAGCGUGGGGAGCAAACAGGAUUAGAUACCCUGGUAGUCCACGCCGUAAACGAUGAGUACUAGGUGUAGGAGGUAUCGACUCCUUCUGUGCCGCAGUUAACACAAUAAGUACUCCGCCUGGGAAGUACGGUCGCAAGAUUAAA
rnacentral:rRNA from 1 species